rnacentral:rRNA from 1 species
UACGGGGGGAGCAAGCGUUGUUCGGAUUUACUGGGCGUAAAGGGCGCGUAGGCGGCGCAACAAGUCACUUGUGAAAUCUCCGGGCUUAACCCGGAGCGGCCAAGUGAUACUGUCGUACUAGGGUGCGGAAGGGGCUACUGGAAUUCUCGGUGUAGCGGUGAAAUGCGUAGAUAUCGAGAGGAACACCUGCGGCGAAGGCGGGUAGCUGGGCCGACACUGACGCUGAGGCGCGAAAGCCAGGGGAGCGAACGGG